rnacentral:rRNA from 1 species
UACGAAGGGGGCUAGCGUUGCUCGGAAUUACUGGGCGUAAAGGGAGCGUAGGCGGAUAGUUUAGUCAGAGGUGAAAGCCCAGGGCUCAACCUUGGAAUUGCCUUUGAUACUGGCUAUCUUGAGUACGGAAGAGGUAUGUGGAACUCCGAGUGUAGAGGUGAAAUUCGUAGAUAUUCGGAAGAACACCAGUGGCGAAGGCGACUCACUGGACACAUAUUGACGCUGAGGUGCGAAAGCGUGGGGAGCAAACAGG